GUGUGUGUGUACGUGUGUGUGUGUGUGUAUGUGUGUGUGUUUCUCCGGACUCUCACAUGACCAAAGUGUUUGUUCCCGUGAUCAACAUUUCCAUUAAACGCUUUGGGAAGUUGGAGGUAGAUGGAUGUGCUGCAGCAGACUUUGGACUCCUCGUUGAGGCAAAUGAAACAAGAAAAGGACACAUCAGAGAUAACUGAAGACGCUUUGAGAGGAGGUGAAGCAGCUGCAUUUCCUCACACUUCAGCUUUCACUGACCGGAGCGUCCAGUAUCAGUUUCUCCCCGACAGCAGCGGUACGCAGGUAACCUAUCAGGUUGUUCAGUUGACUAAUCAGCCGUUGGUGGGUGGGACAGUUGGCGUGGUGUCUUCUGCUUCAUUUACUGGAGCCCAACAGGCUGUGAUCCAGAGUCCCUUCAGUAAUGGAGGCAAUCCUGCAGUAGAGACGAUCGGAGGCGAGGCACGCUUCUCCUACAUCCCACCAGCUGCCGUGAGCGAUGCGACAACCGCCGGAGUUUCAGCCCAUCCGGCCGAGCCCACACGCUCUCACACAGCAGGUCAGUUCUACGUGAUGAGCACGCCGGAAGUUCUUCAGCCAGGCGCACCACGUACCAUAGCUCCCCGCACUCAUCCAUAUGCAGCGAAGAUGGAAGGACUGCGAACGCCGAGAGACGAACGCAGGAGGGCGCAACACAAUGAAGUGGAGCGACGGAGGAGAGACAAGAUCAACAACUGGAUCGUGACGCUGUCUAAAAUCAUCCCAGACUGCAGCAUGGACAGCACUAAAACCGGAGCGAGUAAAGGAGGCAUCCUGUCCAAGGCCUGCGAUUACAUCCAGGAGCUGCGGCAGAGCAACCACACACUCCACGAGAGUCUCCACGAAGUGAAGAGAGUCCAGAUGGACAACGACAUCCUUCGACAGCAGGGAGACUAGAGCCCAUCCCAAGGAACUCUGGGCACAAGGUUCGGGACAUUCUGGAUGAGGUGCCAACCCAUCACAGGGCAGAAUCUCACACACUACAGACAAUUUUGGAAAUGCCAAUCAGCCUACAAUGCAGGUCUUUGGACUUGGGGAGGAAACCAGAGUGCCCAGAGGAAACAUGCAGGCUCUGCAUACACAGGGCGGAGACGGGAUUUGAACCCCCAACCCCGGAGAUCCGAGGCCAUAAAAGUGGAGGAGCUGAAGAACGAGAACGCUUUGCUCCGAGCUGAGCUACAGCAGCGCCAAGCCGCCACAGACGUCACAGACGUGCCAUCGCAUUGAGCCUGAGGACAAAGAUUCUUUCUUUAAAAAAAUGAAGCACAAUUUUUUUUUAUUGUGGCAAUUUUGGGAUUUUCGCAUAUUAACAUGAACUGAAUGAUGAACAGGACGGCGUUCCAGAGCAGUGUUAUUCCAAAGCGAAAAGUGCUCCAUGCUAAAUAUAGAAGGCGUGAAAGACUGAGUGAGCUGUAGAACCCGGACACCUGCUUUAGUUUAUUCUUGUCUAUUUAUUAAGCUUUACUGUCACAACUUAGUGAAUUCCUAUGCCAUGUAGGCCUUUUUACUACGGUGUUGAAGUAUUUAUUAUCAUUAUUAUUAUUAUUAUUAUUUUUAAUAACUAUGUUCACUUUUCCAUUUUGCUAUUCAUGCUAUUCACAAUAUCAGCUUCUUGGCUAAUAUACUUGCAUUCAGUCAGUAACAGUAAUUCUGUAUUAUUUGAACCUCACGACUACCGAGCUACCGUUCGAUUCAAUUUACACCGCUUCAUUAAAGGAAAACUCCAGA